GCAUGCCUAACACAUGCAAGUCGAACGAAAAAGGUCUUCGGGCCUUUUUAGUGGCAAACGGGCGAGUAACACAUAUUUAACUUGCUCAUCCGAGGAGAAUAGCAGCCCGAAAGGGCUAUUAAUACGCCAUAGUUUUAAAUUAGUGAAUUAAUUUAAAUUAAAGGAGGCUGCCGAAAGGUGGCCUCGCGGAUGAAUAGGAAUAUGUCCUAUUAGGUCGUUGGAGAGGUAAUGGCUCACCAAGCCGAUGAUGGGUAGCUGGACUGAGAGGUUGAACAGCCGCAAUGGGAUUGAGAAAUGGCCCAUAUUCCUACGGGAAGCAGCAGUGAGGAAUUUUUCACAAUGGACGAAAGUCUGAUGGAGCAAUACCACGUGAACGAUGAAGGUCUUCUGAUUGUAAAGUUCUUUUAUUUAGGAAAAAAAGCGCGGCAGGAAAUGGCCGCGCCUUGAUUGUACUAAUUGAAUAAGUGACAGCUAACUAUGUGCCAGCAGCUGCGGUAAAACAUAGGUCACGAGCAUUAUCCGGAUUUAUUGGGCGUAAAGGAAGCGUAGGCUGAAAUGUGUAUUCAUUGUUAAAAAUAUUUGCUUAACAAGUGUUCGCGGUGAAGAUUACAUUUCUAGAAUUAGUUAGAGGGUACUGGAAUUCAAUGUGUAGUGGUGGAAUACGUAGAUAUAUUGAGGAACACCAGAGGCUAAGGCGAGUGCCUGGAACAUAAUUGACGCUGAGGCUUGAAAGCGUGGGUAGCAAAUGGGAUUAGAUACCCCAGUAGUCCACGCCGUAAACGAUGGGUAUUAGUCAUUUGGAUUUAAGACUGAGUGAUGUAGCUAACGCGUUAAAUACCCCGCCUGGGUAGUAUAUAUGCAAAUAUGAAACUCAAAGAAAUUGACGGGGACCUGAACAAGUGGUGGA
rnacentral:rRNA from 1 species